rnacentral:rRNA from 1 species
GAUGAACGCUGGCGGCGUGCCUAAUACAUGCAAGUCGAGCGAACAGACGAGGAGCUUGCUCCUCUGAUGUUAGCGGCGGACGGGUGAGUAACACGUGGAUAACCUACCUAUAAGACUGGGACAACUUCGGGAAACCGGAGCUAAUACCGGAUAACAUGUUGAACCGCAUGGUUCAACAGUGAAAGACGGUCUUGCUGUCACUUAUAGAUGGAUCCGCGCCGCAUUAGCUAGUUGGUAAGGUAACGGCUUACCAAGGCAACGAUGCGUAGCCGACCUGAGAGGGUGAUCGGCCACACUGGAACUGAGACACGGUCCAGACUCCUACGGGAGGCAGCAGUAGGGAAUCUUCCGCAAUGGGCGAAAGCCUGACGGAGCAACGCCGCGUGAGUGAAGAAGGUCUUCGGAUCGUAAAACUCUGUUAUUAGGGAAGAACAAAUGUGUAAGUAACUAUGCACGUCUUGACGGUACCUAAUCAGAAAGCCACGGCUAACUACGUG